ACGUGCGCGCUCUCGAUCCGCAUGGACGAGACGUGUACGGAUGCGAAGUUCGUGCAGCGCACUUCUGGCGAGCGAGCGUCAGCGUCGGUUGUCGAUGGGUGACAAGGACAUGAGGAAGGUGAACUGGUCCUUGUGGCCGGUUGUUAUAGCCUCUUGUUCGUAUAGCCCGACGGCGACCGUGGCUCUGCGACGCGUGCCUGGCUGGUGAUUCUCAUGAUCGGUCCGGCAUGUCGACCGUGGCGGACGGCACGCCUGUGCGCUCAAACUGCUGCCGGUCGAUCGUGAGUUUUUCACACACUACGCGUCUAGGAUGCUGACGGCCAUACGGCUCCAUCCGACCCGUCUUGAAACACGGACCAAGGAGUCUAACAUGUGCGCAAGUCUCCGGGUGAUUGAAACCCGUGGGCACAAUGAAAGUAAAGAUCGUCCUAGACGAUUGAGGUGAGAAGCGAACAUCUCGGUGUUCGCUGCAUCAUCGACCGACCUAUUCUGCUCUCAGAAAGGUUUGAGUAAGAGCGUAUCUGUUGGGACCCGAAAGAUGGUGAACUAUGCCUGAAUAGGGUGAAGCCAGCGGAAACACUGGUGGAAGCUCGUAGCGAUUCUGACGUGCAAAUCGAUCGUCGAAUUUGGGUAUAGCGGCGAAAGACUAAUCGAACCAUC
rnacentral:rRNA from 1 species